rnacentral:rRNA from 1 species
ACGUACACUCCUACGGGAGGCAGCAGUGGGGAAUAUUGGACAAUGGGCGCAAGCCUGAUCCAGCCAUGCCGCGUGAGUGAUGAAGGCCCUAGGGUUGUAAAGCUCUUUCACCGGUGAAGAUAAUGACGGUAACCGGAGAAGAAGCCCCGGCUAACUUCGUGCCAGCAGCCGCGGUAAUACGAAGGGGGCUAGCGUUGUUCGGAUUUACUGGGCGUAAAGCGCACGUAGGCGGAGUAUUAAGUCAGGGGUGAAAUCCCGGGGCUCAACCCCGGAACUGCCUUUGAUACUGGUAGUCUUGAGUUCGAGAGAGGUGAGUGGAAUUCCGAGUGUAGAGGUGAAAUUCGUAGAUAUUCGGAGGAACACCAGUGGCGAAGGCGGCUCACUGGCUCGAUACUGACGCUGAGGUGCGAAAGCGUGGGGAGCAAACAGGAUUAGAAACCCCUGUAGUCCCAUG